rnacentral:rRNA from 1 species
CGACUGGGCACAUGCAGGUCGAGCGGUAACGCGGGAUCAAAACUGGCGACGAGCGGCGAACGGGUGAGUAACGCUUCGGAAUCUACCCUGUAGUGGGGAAUAACCAAUCGAAAGGUUGGCUAAUACCGCAUACGACCCACGGGUGAAGGCGGGGGAUCGCAAGACCUCGCGCUAUUGGAUGAGCCGAAGUCGGAUUAGCUGGUUGGCGGGGUAACGGCCCACCAAGGCGAUGAUCCGUAGCUGGUCUGAGAGGUGUGGCCAGCCACACUGGGACUGAGACACGGCCCAGACUCCUACGGGAGGCAGCAGUGGGGAAUAUUGGACAAUGGGGGCAACCCUGAUCCANCAAUGCCGCGUGAGUGAUGAAGGCCUUAGGGUUGUAAAGCUCUUUCGGCGGGGACGAUGAUGACGGUACCCGCAGAAGAAGCCCGGGCUAACUUCGUG